rnacentral:rRNA from 1 species
AUUGAACGCUGGCGGAAUGCUUUACACAUGCAAGUCGAGCGGCAGCGCGGGGCAACCUGGCGGCGAGCGGCGAACGGGUGAGUAUUGCAUCGGAACGUGUCCAUGUCGUGGGGGAUAGCCCGGCGAAAGCCGGAUUAAUACCGCAUACGCCCGAGAGGGGAAAGUGGGGGACCGCAAGGCCUCACGCGAUUGGGUCGGCCGAUGUCCGAUUAGCUAGUUGGCGGGGUAAAGGCCCACCAAGGCGAUGAUCGGUAGCUGGUCUGAGAGGAUGAUCAGCCACACUGGGACGGGGACACGGCCCAGAAUCCUACGGGAGGCAGAAGUUGGGAAUUUUGGACAAUGGGGGCAACCCUGAUCCAGCCAUUCCGCGUGAGUGAAGAAGGCCUUCGGGUUGUAAAGCUCUUUUGUCCGGAACGAAACGGAUGACGUGAAUAUCGUCGUCUACUGACGGUACCGGAAGAAUAAGCACCGGCUAACUACGUGCCAGCCGCCGCGGUAA